rnacentral:rRNA from 1 species
UACGUAGGGUGCAAGCGUUGUCCGGAAUUAUUGGGCGUAAAGAGCUCGUAGGCGGUUUGUCGCGUCGGCUGUGAAAACUUGGGGCUCAACCCCGGGCCUGCAGCCGAUACGGGCAAACUAGAAUUCGGUAGGGGAGACUGGAAUUCCUGGUGUAGCGGUGAAAUGCGCAGAUAUCAGGAGGAACACCAAUAGCGAAGGCAGCUCGCUGGGACGGUACUGACGCUAAGGCGCGAAAGCGUGGGGAGCGAACAGG